CGGAAGGCAGGCUCACUGCUUGCUGCCUCCUCCUUGGUCUGCCGUGGAUUGUUUCUCUUCUGUGAUGCCCCUCUGCCAUGCCAUCUUACCUUGGAGCCAGCUGACUGGACUAAAACCUCUAUAAAACGUACAACAAAUUCUGUGCAUUUUGAAGAUAUAUGAAGGUUGUGAACGAAUGUUUUUCAAAAACUUGUCAUAGAAGAUGACUGAAGAAAAUUAUUACUACAAUUGCAUGUAACAAGCCUAUAGGUAGCUGCAAAUGAAUGCAUAAGUCCUCUGGUGGCAGUUAAAAAUACAUCACUGCCUCAUAAUGCAACAUGUUAGAAGGAACAAUGAAGAAUUGGUCAAGAAAACAUGAACAGAAGCAAAUGAUACAAAUAUUUGAUGUUGAAAAAUUCACAAAUUAUGUAGAAAAAGACUAAUUGUAAUUGCUGAAUAAUAAAUUCUUUUCUUUAAAAUACAUCCUCUUGAAAGCAUCUGUGUUCCUAAUUUUUAGUCAGACCUAUUUUCAACCUACUUUAAGCAUACUGUUGUCAAAAACUAGCUCAUUUGUAGGUGGUGAUUCUUAUUGAAAUGGACAGCUGGGGAGUCAUUUCUAG
rnacentral:lncRNA from 1 species